rnacentral:lncRNA from 1 species
ACCUCUACCUCUACCUCCUCUACCUCUACCUCUACCACUACCUCUACCUCCUCUACCUCUACCACUACCUCCUCUACCUCCUCUACCUCUACCUCUACCACUACCUCUACCUCUACCUCUACCUCUACCUCCUCUACCUCUACCUCUUCCUCUACCUCCUCUUAUGCCCUUACAUGUAACAAGCAGAAUCAUAUUUUACAAUACAGUUCAACAACAUGUUUGGAAGUAUUAGGAAAUGAAUGAGUAUAAAUAAAAGUUCUAAGUAAUUAUUAUAUAUUUUGAAGUAUCUUAUAUGAUUUGUGGCAAUGAGAGCGUUAUGAAAAAAACUGGACAUGAAGCUCAGUUAUAAAGUACACAGUACAGGGAGUUUUGGUACAACAAACCAAAAAAUCCCAAAUGUAAUCCAAAUUCAACAUGUAUCAAGGAAAAGUAGCUUCAGGAUUUGGAGAACUACUGAACAUAUUCAACAUGUGGCGCAACGAUCGAAACCGCUAGGCUACCUGCCGCCCACGAUGUCUGAACGUUCAAUAUUACCUGGCACCACAGGCGAGUCAAAUACACAAUACUUUGUAGUAAAAAAAAAACUGUAAUAAAUACAAAACAGAUGAAAAAAAACCACUAAUAAAGACGUAUAAAUAUGGACUGAAAGCCUCAAUUGUAUCGAAAUACCGUAAAUAUACUUUGGCAAAAGCAGUAACAGAAAAAUCACAGUUUCUGGACCCAGAAGCGCAACAUCAGAGACUUCCGGGAACGCUUGUGAAACAGACCAAGAGGACCAGGCCAGGGUUUGGGGGUUUGACAAGUCAAUGAGAGAAGUGAAGAAUUCUUCCUUAGUUGUUAAUUUUCUCCUAAUCUAAAGGCACAACCUAGAUUGGAGCCAAUGUCUUAAAUACUCUCUAUAUACAAAAGUAUGUGGACACCCCUUCAAAUGAGUGGAUUUGGCUAUUUCAGCCACACCUGUUGCUGACAGGUGUAUACAAUCGAGCACACAGACAUGCAAUCUCCAUAGACAAACAUUGGCAGUAGAAUGGCCUUACUGAAGCGCUUAGUGACCUUCAACGUGGCACCAUCAUAGGAUGCCACCUUUCCAACAAGUCAGUUCAUCAAAUUUCUGCCCUGCUAGAGCUGCCCUGCUAGAGCUGCCCUGCUAGAGCUCCCUGCCCGGUCAACUGUAAGUACUGUUAUUAUGAAGUGGAAACGUCUAGGAGUAACAAUGGCUCAGGCGCGAAGUAGAAGCCCAAGGUCACAGAACAGGACUGGGAGUGGAGACAUGUUGGCUGGAGGGGGUUGGGGGGAUGGGAGAGUGGGAGUGGAGACAGGUUGGCUGGAGGGGGUUGGGGGAUGGGAGUGGAGACAGGUUGGCUGCAGGGGGUUGGGGGGAUGGGAGAGUGGGAGUGGAGACAGGUUGGAUGGAGGGGGUUGGGGGGAUGGGAGAGUGGGAGUGGAGACAGGUUGGCUGGAGGGGGUUGGGGGGAUGGGAGUGGAGACAGGUUGGCUGGAGGGGGUUG